ensembl:rRNA 5S_rRNA 5S ribosomal RNA
GACAUUUGGUAGAGGCUGUUUAAGCCACCUGGUCCCAGCAGACUCCAGAAGGCGGCCACAUUUGCUGGUAUUGGGGCAAGGUCUUUAGGGUGAAGCCUGCUGCCAGAUGUGU